GAUGAAGAACGCAGCGAAAUGCGAUAAGUAAUGUGAAUUGCUGAAUUCAGUGAAUCAUCGAAUCUUUGAACGCACAUUGCGCCCGCUAGUAUUCUGGCGGGCAUGCCUGUCCGAGCGUCAUUUCAACCCUCAAGCCCCCGGGCUUGGUGUUGGGGAUCGGCGAGCCUCCGCGCCCGCCGUCCCCUAAAUCUAGUGGCGGUCUCGCUGUAGCUUCCUCUGCGUAGUAGCAUACCUCGCACUGGGAAACAGCGCGGCCACGCCGUUAAACCCCCAACUUCUGAACGUUUGACCUCGGAUUAGGUAGGAAUACCCGCUGAACUUAAGCAUAUCAAUAAGCGGAGGA
rnacentral:misc_RNA from 1 species